ensembl:lncRNA
UUAAUCAAAAAAAAAAAAAAAAACUCAGAUCCUGUGCUUUAAAAGUGUAUUACUUAAAAAAAUCUGCUUUGGUCUUUUGUAUGAGUUUGUAGUUUUAGUGCACUUGUAGUUAAAUCCUGUACUGGACCACCUAAACUGAACUUGCUUUUCCCUUCACUCACAUACCCCUCACCCUCACACACGGCUCCACAAGUCAUAAAAUCAAAAGAAAGAGGUUCAGGAGAUGAAGUCCCUCGGCCCUCUACUUCUCCCAUUGCAUCAAACACACCUGCAAAUACCAAUGAAGGUAAAGCCAACAUCAUCUCAUCAAACUCACACUCCUGCAUUAUUAUACUCUCAUGCACAAUCUCUCACACUCUGACCUCCAGCUUCCUAUCAUGCCAUGCCAGACAAACGUCACUAAACAAGAGAUUUAUUAAUUUACAUUUGAUUGACUGAUUGAUUGAUUGAUUGAUUGAUUGAAAGUGAGGCUAG